GUGGUCAAAAGUGGUACUGCACUCAGACCGUCGAUGUUAAGCCCAGCGGAAGAGAAGCAGGUGACAGUGAUUAAACCAUAAUAGGGGUAGUGAAGCUGUUAUUGGAAAACAAACUGUUCGAGGUAAGGUUUCUUCAGAGUAUGGCCAAACUAAUUACAGAAAUGUGAGAAGUCGUUCAAAUGAAACAAGCAAGGGAGUUAGCCAGUUAGCUAGGAUAACUGUUAAUAAAUAAAAUACUUGGCGGCCCAAACACGUGCGGGAAAUAAGAAGACAUUGUGGAUAUAAUCCUACAUUAAAAGAGGACAGGACUUCAAAUAAAGUUUCAGAAGAGACAAGCUGAGGUGGUACAAGCAAACUGCAGCCUCCACAACUGACUGUGAUAGGCUGUCAAUCAAGGUCCGAGGACGUAGCCCAUUUGGAAGAACCUGAGACAGAGGAGUGACCUCACCUGUGAUUGGCCAGAAACCUGUUGGUCCAGGUCUGAUGGUACAACAUGAGCCACUCUUGUUCCUGGUGUGUUUAACAGGCCUCAGCCUCGUACAACAAAUAUACAGUCACUAAUGUCACUGCCUGCCUGCCUUGGGUCAAUCUGCGAUUGGCCGGAGGGUGCAGCCAGUGGGAGCUCAAGGGUCAAUGCAGGCUCUGCCCCAGACUCACCUAGAGCAAGACAGAGUUAUAACUCUUAACUAGAGCUGUUUCUGCUCCUGCAGGGUGAUGUGAUGAUAACGUUGCUUUUUGGAACCUGCUCUGUUUCU